GGUGUCACAAGUCACGAGUAUGUAGAAGAGUUUAAAAGCAACUACAAGGCCGGUAAUAUACAAAAUAGAAUUUAGAAUCAAAAGGAAGAAAUUCGGUGCUGCGAACGCUGGCGGUCACAUUGCUCAGCUACGAUCGCCAAAUCUCCAAUCAUCUCAAAACCCGCUACCGGGUGAACAGAUACUUGCAUCUGCACACGAGAUGUAUGAAGUAAAGUGAGUACUCCAACUCAAUGAGUAAUAAAAGUAGAAAAUAACUGAGCGAUAAGAAAACACAUAUAAUAGAUCAUCAUGCAGAAUAGAAGUAGAGAAAAACCCUUUUUGAGAAAGGUAGUGAAGCUAUGAAACCUUUAGAGAAACAUUUAAACUCAGUUUAAUGAUUCUUUUAAUAAUGCCUUUUUCAACAGCUACGCAAAUGAAUGCAGUAGCAAUAGUGCAGAUAAGCACAGAAAUUAGAGUCGAUGAAAUUAGAGUAUAAAUACUUAGGCAGGUGUAACAGAUAAAGAACAAAUGCAUGAAUGCAAUGAAAUGCAGAUGAUGGUACACUUUGGUACCCACUGCGGCGUGCAGCCUGAGCCAUCCAUUUAUUUAUCAUCGAAGACGCUUACUAGGGGUGUGUACAGACUCCGAAGGGGCUCCUACAGUUCAAGCAGAAUACCAAGCCAUCUCAUGCCAUCAACCAGGCUCUCGGCCUCAAUAUCAAUAUAAUCAACCAGACUCUCGGCCUCAAUCUCAAUAUAGAACUGUUGCGGCGCACAACCCGUUCCAUGCUCAGUCCAGAAAUCAUAUUAAGCCUCGUAGGAAUUUGUAAAACAGUAGUUCUCAGCCCAAAAUAUCACUUAGAAAUAUCAUUUAUGUUUUCAAAUCUUAGAAAGAUGACUGAGUUUGCAAAAGAGUAUUUAAAACCUUUGACUGAAAUGAAAUAAUAUGCAAAAUAUGUGAGAACAGUGAUAUCAAUUCCUGAAGGAUUCAAAUAAUUUGCACGAAGUCCAAAUAUAAAAAUUAAAUCCAAGUAGGAUGAUUAUCAAAUAAGUUCUAGUAAAAAACACAGUAGAAACAUAUCUCGGGACGGACCAAGUCAGAAUCCCCAAUAACAAAUGACCCCGCACUCAUUAUAAAGUGCGUGCCUCGCCUAAUUAUAGCGUUACGAUGUGAAAUUCCGGGGUUUCAAACCCUCAUGACAACAUUUACAUCAAUUACUCUCCUCUAGCCGGCCAAAGUCUAGCUCUCUAUGCCCUUGCCUCUCGAAUCGACCUCCUCGCGCAUCGAAUCUGACCAAAACCACAACGAAUUCCUCACAUUAUUCCAAAGGAACAAAAUGCAAUCAAAAUAAUCGAAUAACAACAAGAAUUUCUGAAAUUGGAAAAAUCCGAGCUCCGAGCACACUUCUCCAAAAUAAAAAACUUUUGCACCAACGGAUUCCUUAUCUCCACGAGUCUAUACAUAUAAAAAUCAUCAGAAUCAGAGUUCAUUUGACCCCACAAAUCCCUAGUUAAAGCUCUCUUAUGUUCAAGCCCUAAACCAUCAUUUUUGACCUUUAAUCCCUUGAAUUUUCAGUUGUAAUCCUUGUAUUUACACCAUAUAAUCAUGUUAUAAGUCCAAGAAUUCAUACAUGAUCGAUGACCUCAAAACCCUCUUCAAGAUUGCCCAAAAACUCUCUAAGUCCGGAGUGCAAUAUAUUAUUCUUUCAAAAACUAGCGAAGAAGACUAAUUUAAUACUCUGCUCAGUCAUCUCACUUCUGCGGUUCCAUUUAUGAUGAUGUGGGACCGCUUCUGCGGUCACUAUACCGCUUCCGCGGUUUCCUAUUCCAAAUCCUCAGCCGCUUCUGCGUCUUCAAUUCCACACCAGCGGAACCUCCUGUGCGGUCCUCACUUGCACUUCUGCAGAACCUGCCCUAUGUCCAAUUUCCGCUUCUGCACAUUCUCGUUCACUUCUGCAUGACCGCACCUGCGGUCCCAUAACCGCAGGUGCGAAAAUACCAGAUACCAGCAAAUUUUAACAUGCAAAAAAUCCAAAACUCUUCGUUUAACCACCCGAACUCACCCCGGGAUCUCAACCAAAAACACUCAUGAUCCAAUAACUCAUUCGAACGUGUUCCAAUCAUAAAAACACAUCCAACAACACGAAAAUCCUCAAUUCUCAUCAAAUUCAAGCAUAAGUUCUUCUAAAACUUCUGAGACACACAUUCGACCAGAAACCCAACCAAAUAACCUCCGAAUCAUCUGAAAUUUUGCACACACCUCCCAAAUCACUUAACAAAGCUACUGCAACUCUCGGAAUUCAAUUCUGACACUUGGAUAAAAAUUUUACCUAUCAAUUGGAUAUCGCGAAAAUACUAACUCCGCCAAUUCAAGCCUAAUUCUACACCGCGCCUGCAAUUUCACUUCCGAUAGAACUCCUAAGUCAAAAAUCACACCCGGAAGAUAACCGAAUAAGCGAAAAUCACAUCCGAGCCCUCUAACUCAUAUGUCAAUAUCUAGUUGACGUUUCCAAACCAAACCUUUCUUAAAGAGACUAAGUGUCUCAUUUCCUUCCAAAAGCAGUCCAAAUAAACUCUAACACACCAAAUGCCGAUAAUGAAACAUGAAGAAGUGUAACAUGGGGAAACAGGGCGGUAACAUAUGAGAUGACGGGUCGGGUCAUCACAUCCUCCCCAACUUAAACAAACGCUUGUCCUCGAGCAUACCCAGAGUUUUCCUAGAAGCCAAUCAAUAGCUGAAUGACCUUACCAAGCAUAUACCCGGGGGUGAUCCCACGUCACCCUAUCUCGCAUAGGUCUGAUAACACAAUAUAGCUAAAAUAUCACAAUCCAUCCAGUCCAUAAACCCUAGAACCAUAUUGCACCUUCCAAAAUCAUACACAAGAUCAGAACCUCACAUAUAUACCCAGAAUAAGCACGAACCAGCUGUAAUAACCCUCAUUCAUAUGACAACUACAUAGCCUAAGCACUCAAACGAUAAAUUCUAUUCACAGUAAUUUCCCGCAACACCCGAAUACCGGUAGAAAACCUCUUAUCAACUAAGGUCUUACUCAAACAUUUUCAUAUACUGUAAUAAACCGUAACCAUUUCUCAGAUCAACUAUUCAUGAAGACACUUCCCUUAUGACUAAUACCACAAUAGAUUCCGAGCUGAACCUCGAUAUUAUCCUUUCAACAAGCUGAAAUCAAAUUCGUUCGUAUUCAUUAGUAAUCCCAACGAUCACCUCGAAUCCAAUACACCACUCUGGUGAUAUGACACCUCAAUACAUGCUUAAGCCACAACUUGCAUAAUACGCAAAUACAAGGCUGGUAAUAUACAAAAUAGAAUUUAGAAUCAAAAGGGAGAAAUCCGAUGUCACAAACGCUGGAGGUCACCUUGCACAGCUACGAUCACCAAAUCUCCAAUAAGCUCAAAACCCACUACCGGGUGAACAGAUACCUGCAUCUGCACACGAGGUGCAGGGAGUAAAUUAAGUGCUCCAACUCCGUGAGUAAUAAGAGUAUAUAAUAACUGGGUGGUAAGAAAUCACGUAUAACAGAUCAUCAUGCUGCAUAGAAGAGAGAAAACCUUUUUUUGAGAAAGUAGUGAAGCUAUGAAAACUUUAGAGAAACAUUUAAUCUCAGUUUAAAGACUCUUUUAGAAAUGCCUUUUUCAACAGUUACGUAAAUGAAUGCAAUAGCAAUAGCAUAGAUAAGCACAGAAAUCCGCCCCUCGGGCCCAACACUCAGUGAUCAGUAGAACAUUUAAUGGUGAAGCAUCAAAUCGAUGAAAUCAGAGUACAAAUGCUGAAUAGGUAUAAUAGAUAAAGAUCAAAUGCAUGAACGCAUUUAAAAGCAUAUGAUGGUACCUACUACAGCGUGCAUCUCGAGCCAUCCAUUUAUUUAUCAUCGAUAGCACUCAUUGGGGGUGUGUACACACUUCGGAGGGGCUCCUACAGCCCAAGUGCAAUAUCAAUCCAUCUCAUGGAAUCAACCAGGCUCUCAGCCUCAAUAUCAAUAUAAUCAACCAUGCUCUCGGCCUCAAUCUCAAUAUAAAAUUGCUGCGGCAUGCAGCCCUAUCCAUGCUAAGUCCAGAAAUCAUCAUAAUCCCCUUGGGAAUUUAUAAAAUAGUAGUUCUCAGUCCAAAAUAUCAUUUAGAAAUAUCAUUUAAGUUUUCAAAUCUUAGAAAGAUGGUUGAGUUUGCAAAACAGUAUUUAAAACCUUGGACUAAUAUCAAAUAAUAUGCAAAAUGUGCGAGAACAAUGAUAUCAAUCCCUGAAGGAUUCAAAUAAUUUGCACAAGGCCCAAAUAUAACAAUUAAAUCCAAGUAGGAUGAUUAUCGAAUAAGUUCUAGUGGAAAACACAGUAGAAACAUUUCUCGAGACGGACCAAGUCACAAUCCCCAAUAACAAACGACCCCGCAGUCAUUGUAGAGCUCGUGUCUCGCCUAUAUAUAUAAUGUUCCGAUGUAAAAUUCGGGGUUUCAAAUCCUCAGGACAUGAUUCAAAUCAAUUACUCACCUCUAGCCGGCCAAAGUCUAGCUCGCUAUGCCCUUGCCUCUCGAAUUGACCUCUUCGUGCGUCGAAUCUGACCAAAACUACAAUGAAUCCGUCAUAAUGUGCCAAGGUAACAAAACCCAAUAAAAAUGAUCGAAAAAUAAUAAGAAUUCUGAAAUUGGUAAAACCCGAGCCCCAGGGUUUUACACAAAUUGAAAAACUCAAAACGUUUACACCAACGAAUUCCUUAUCUCGCCGCGAGUCUAUACAUAUAAAAAUCACCAGAAUUGGAGUUCAUUUGACCCCUCAAAUCUCUAGUGAAGUGCUUUUACGUUCAAGCGCUAAACCACUAUCUUUGACCUUUAUUCCCUUGAAUUUUCAGUUGUAAUCCAUGUAUUACACCAUAAAAUCAUGUUUUUGGACUUAAUACAUGAUCAAAGCCCUUGAAAGCCUCUUCAAAAUCUCCCAAAAGCUCUCUUAGUCCAGAGUGCAAUAAGUUGUUCUUUCAAAAACUCUCGAAGAAGACUAAUUUAAUACUCUGCCCAGUCAUCUCGCUUCUGCGGUCCUAUUUUUGCUGAUGCGGGACCGCUUCUGUGGUCACUAUACCGCUUCUGCAGUUUCCUGUUCCAAAUCCUCAACCGCUUCUGCGGCUCCAAUUCCACACUAGCGGAACCACCUAUACGGUCCUCACUUUCGCUUCUACAGAACCUUCGCUGAGUCCAUUUCCCACUUUUGCACCUUCUCGUUUGUUUCUGCGUGACUUCACCUGCGGUCCCAUAACCGCAGGUGCAAAAAUACCAGAUACCAGCAAACUUUAACAUGCAAAAGCUCCAAAACUCUCCGUUUAGCGACCCGAACUCACCCGAAGGCCCUCAGGACCUUAACCAAAAACACAAACAUGAUCCAAUUCCUCAUUCAAACUUGUUCCAAUCAUACAAACACAUCCGACAACACAAAAAUCCUCAAUUCUCAUCAAAUUCAUGCCUAAGUUCUUCUAAAACUCCCGAUACACACAUUCGAUUAGAAACCCAACCAAAUCACCUCCGAAUCAUCUAAAAUUGUAUACACAUAUCCCAAAUUACCUAACUAAGCUACUGCAACUCUCAGAAUUCCAUUCUAACUCUCGGAUCAAAAUCUCACAUAUCAAUCGGAUAUCGCCAAAAUACUAACUUCGCCAAUUAGUGCCUAAUUCUACACCGGACCUCUAAAUUCAUUUCCGUUCACACUCAUAAGUUACAAAUCACACCCCAAAGCUAAUCGAGUCAGUAAAAAUCACAUCCGAGACCUCUAACUCAUAAGUCAAUAUCCUGUUGACUUUUCCAAAUCAAACCUUCCUAAAAGAGACUAAGUAUCUCAAUUCCUUCCAAAACCAAUCCAAAUCAACUCUUACACACCAUAUGCUGAUUACAAAACAUGAAGAAGUAUUACAUGGGGGAAAUGGGGUGGUAACACAUGAGAAGAUGGGUUGAGUCAUUACAAAAGGAUUCUGGGCAGUGCUUACACCCCAAAACAUUGCAAAUUUAAGAACAUAGUGCAGUGCGAGAAUGCCAGCACUCAGAUGUCAAAGUUCAGAGGGAACUCAAGGUCCCAAAGUAAGGCUCAUAAGAGAGGGGCAGAACUUAAGAGUCUAAGAAUAAGUGUAAGUGCACAAGGGAAAGGGGAUCAGAGAGAGGCAUGGCAGGCUUGUGGUCAUGCCUUGAAUUGGAAUGCUGGCACACCCCUGACUAGCCUGUUAGCCAAGCAUUCAGAGUUUGGAUCCACUGUGGAUCAGGUUAUGGCCUGGAAAGUAAUUAGGGUACUGUUAGCCCAAAAACCUUAACUCAAGCAUAU
rnacentral:lncRNA from 1 species